UGCCUCGUCUUCAGUCUCUUUGACGGAGGUCUGAGGCCGGGUCUUUUCCCCAUUUCUUUGUGCCGGUGGCAUCAUCUAAAGUCAAAUUCCAGCCGUGUAGGCUACUUCGGAACGACUCGGCCAUUGAACAGGCCGCUGGCCUCUUCCUUCUGGAGAGUUAGGGACAAGGCCCCUCCGAGACUUCCGAGGACUGACUGGCAGGGGUGGUGUUUUUAGGACCUGGAAGUGCCCUCCUGGCAGACUGGGGCUUCUUCUCUGGGCAGGUCUGCCAGGAGUCCUUCUCCGAGAGGCUCGUUUCCUUAAAGCAAGAAGCCAUAUUAAAGAAGAAAGAGAAUACGUUAUUUGAAUUUCCUUAAAAGAUUGGCAGAGGGGUUUAAUGUAAUUGCCAAGCAAUGAAACGUAACUAUUAACUUCAAGUUCAGAUCACUGUUGAGUCCAGGUUCAGCAAAAACAGCCAGGCCAACAAGUUAGAAGCACUCCCAGCUGCUUGAGCUUGCACAUUGAAUUCAGUCACUGGUUAAUGCAUUUAUGUAUUCAACAGCUGCAUUCCACAUGACUGUUAAAGGACCUGUCAAAAGCAAAACCUUUUACAGAUAAAGAGUUAUAAAACUACAGUCAAACCUUAAUUACCCUAUGGAGGUCAUGAAGUGGCUGAUAUUCUUAAACAAUGGAUAUUUCUAGGGGAAACAUCAAUAUAAUUACUUUCUGCAUAUCAUGAGACACAGGAAAAGUGUACAUUUCCCCAUGAAAAAGAAUUUUAAUGGGCAGCUUUUUGCUUGAAGUGAAAAAGUGUCAUUGCAGUGUAAUUAAACACCUUGAGCUGAGAUUACCCUGGUGGGCCCUAAAUUUAAUCUUGAAUGUCCUCAGAAAAGCAGAAGGAGAUUUAUGACAGACAGAAAAAGAAAAGGCACAGACAUGGGAAAUCGAUGUGAAGACUGAGGCAGAGCAGAGGGACAUCACCACAAGCCAAGGAAUGCCAACUGCCAGCAGAAGCUGAAAAAGGCAAAGAUCAGAUUUUUCCCCUGAGUCUAUAAAUGGAGUGUGGGCCUGCUGAUGCCUUGAUUUUGAACUUCUGGCCCCCAGACUGAGAAAAUAAAUUUUUGUUGUUUCAAGCCACUAAUUUGUAAUGACUUGUAUAGCAGUCCCUGGAAGCUAAUACAUCGUAUGAGUUCAAUAAUAUAAAUGUUUUCCAACUUACUGACUACAAAUUCCAUGACAGAAGGGACUACUAAGAUUGUAUCGAUUGCUGUGUUUUGCACAAAUAGCCUGGUGAGGCAGAUUAACCUGGGAGGAAGAGUAUCUCUGCACAUGGCAGAUGAGAAAAAAAAAAUGACUGUGUUUCCCACUCUUCCUUGCAACUGGAUGUGGCCUAGGAACUAUUUUGUGUCAAAGGGAUAAAAACACAGUGAAGUGAUAACUACAGAGAUGUGCCCUUAACAGGAAAGAGCAUCACAAUGGAGGACAGGGAGCUACCUAUUUAUAUAAGAAAUAUAUAUGUUUUGGUACAAGAUGAGGUGAGAUAGAGAACAGAAGAAGUGCCUGGAGGAACAUGCCAUAAAAGUGCUAUACAACUCCUGAAUGCCUACACAAACUUUUCUAUAAAGAGAAGUAAAAAAGUUAUAUUGCUCUUUUGUAUGCUGGAGCAGGGUGGAGUUCUCUAACAACCAAACUUAAUCGUAACUAAUAUAUAAGAUAAUUGACCCAUAAUAUUUGUUGCGUGGGUUGAAUGAAUUUAUAUAAUUAUCUGGGGGUUUUUUAUCAUUCAUUUUCUUGAAGAAAAUGAAUUCACUUGAAAUAUUCAUCAAGUGAAAUAUCUUUAUACUCUUGUCUCCUACUCACCUGUAUUUUAAGAUAUGAAGAAUGAUCCAUUUAUAAGAAUUUAAUGGAAAUGUAUAUAUUGUGUGUAUAUAUAUAUGUAUUAUAUAUUUUUUUCUCCUCCUCCUACAUGCAAGCCAUGAAAUAUUUUUAUUGAUUGCAUUAAAAUGUUCAUUUCAAAUUCAUAAGAGCCAAGUAUCAAUUUUAAUUCCUCAUUAGUUAUAGUACUAGAUUGUAAAUGUUUAUUGAAAAAAAUAUAAUUAUAUCGAUGCUUAUCAUUUCAACUCUAGAAUUAAACCUUUUAUACAUUGUUGUCCAUAAAUCUACCUUAUCAAAACAUAUUUGAAAAAAAAUUUAAAGAUGUUUUAUUGAAGCAUCCAAGGUAUGUACUUAUUAUCUCCAUAAAAAUGUUGGCUGUCUAGAAUUAAAUUUUUACUUCUUUACUCAUAGCUUUAUGAUGAUCAGUUAAUAUAUGUCACACUGAUUUUUAUAUUUCAACUCUUGGAGAGAACUUUCUACCAGCAAUACUGGAUGAUUGUACCUUUCUGGAAUUUAAAUAAAUUAUAUACCCCGCAGUUCAUCUUGUUGCAUUUUCGAAAUGCCAACUUAAUGUGUUUCUGGUAGAUGAUGUUUUACCCUCAUUGUCAUAGAUCUAUGGAAGAUCUUUCUUCCAGUUAUCUCUUCUUAAGGUGAUUUUGUCCAGAUAAAUGCCAGAAGACAAUGAA